rfam:Methanocorpusculum labreanum Z, complete genome.
GAGAGGGAGCACACGGCUGACGGUGGUCAAUUCGAGACCGCUGAGGAAAGUCCUCCCACCGCUCAGGUACACAGCCGUAUGCAAAUACGGGUGGCGAGAGUCACAGCUCUGGAACAGAAACGACACGUCCUCUUCUGAGCAAUGAAGCAGCAGUUGAAGCUGUUGAGCGUCGAGGCUGAGGGACCGAUGGAACGGCGAAUCUCUGUGGGUGCAAGUUGGAACAGGGUCGCUACGGGUGCCUGACCCAAUGAUCCGGGUACAACGCUAAGCCGAAUGCCGUAAAAACAGGAGGAGGCUUAUUACUCCGACUC